AUUGAACGCUGGCGGCAGGCCUAACACAUGCAAGUCGAGCGAGCGGCGGACGGGUGAGUAAUGUAUGGGGACUGCCCGAUAGAGGGGGAUAACUCCUGGAAACGGUAGCUAAUACCGCAUACUAUCGGAUAACCCAUAUGGGAUUAGCUAGUAGGUGAGUGAAUGGCUCACCGAGGCGACGAUCCCUAGCUGGUCUGAGAGGAUGAUCAGCAACACUGGGACUGAGAGACGUCCCAGAAUCCGACGGAGGCAGCAGAGGGGAAUAUUGCACAACGGGCGCAAGCCUGAUGAAGCCAUGCCGCGUGUAUGAAGAAGGCCCUAGGGUGGUAAAGUACUUUCAGUCGGGAGGCGUUAUCGACAGAAGAAGCACCGGCUAACUCCGUGCCAGCAGCCGCGGUAAUUC
rnacentral:rRNA from 1 species